rnacentral:rRNA from 1 species
GUGGCGGACGGGUGAGUAACGCGUGGGUAACCUGCCUUAUACAGGGGGAUAACAGUCAGAAAUGGCUGCUAAUACCGCAUAAGCGCACAGAGCUGCAUGGCUCAGUGCGAAAAACUCCGGUGGUAUAAGAUGGACCCGCGUUGGAUUAGCUAGUUGGUGGGGUAACGGCCCACCAAGGCGACGAUCCAUAGCCGGCCUGAGAGGGUGAACGGCCACAUUGGGACCGAGACACGGCCCAGACUCCUACGGGAGGCAGCAGUGGGGAAUAUUGCACAAUGGGGGAAACCCUGAUGCAGCGACGCCGCGUGAAGGAAGAAGUAUCUCGGUAUGUAAACUUCUAUCAGCAGGGAAGAUAGUGACGGUACCUGACUAAGAAGCCCCGGCUAACUACGUGCCAGCAGCCGCGGUAAUACGUAGGGGGCAAGCGUUAUCCGGAUUUACUGGGUGUAAAGGGAGCGUAGACGGUGUGGCAAGUCUGAUGUGAAAGGCAUGGGCUCAACCUGUGGACUGCAUUGGAAACUGUCAUACUUGAGUGCCGGAGGGGUAAGCGGAAUUCCUAGUGUAGCGGUGAAAUGCGUAGA